AUGAACACCGAUACGUUGAACGCAUAUUGCGCAUCGCACGACACAGUGCGAUGUACACAUUUUUGAGUGCC
rnacentral:rRNA from 4 species